GCGCACGGGUGCGUAACGCGUGGGAACCUGCCUUUAGGUUCGGAAUAACAGUGAGAAAUCGCUGCUAAUACCGGAUAAUGUCUUCGGACCAAAGAUUUAUCGCCUUUAGAUGGGCCCGCGUUGGAUUAGAUAGUUGGUGGGGUAACGGCCUACCAAGUCGACGAUCCAUAGCUGGUCUGAGAGGAUGAUCAGCCACACUGGGACUGAGACACGGCCCAGACUCCUACGGGAGGCAGCAGUGGGGAAUAUUGGACAAUGGGCGAAAGCCUGAUCCAGCAAUGCCGCGUGAGUGAUGAAGGCCUUAGGGUUGUAAAGCUCUUUUACCAGGGAUGAUAAUGACAGUACCUGGAGAAUAAGCUCCGGCUAACUCCGUGCCAGCAGCCGCGGUAAUACGGAGGGAGCUAGCGUUGUUCGGAAUUACUGGGCGUAAAGCGCGCGUAGGCGGCUUUUCAAGUCAGGGGUGAAAUCCCGGGGCUCAACCCCGGAACUGCCCUUGAAAC
rnacentral:rRNA from 1 species